AGGGGCAUAGGGCAUGGGAAAA
rnacentral:piRNA from 1 species